CCUACGGGAGGCAGCAGUGGGGGAUAUUGCACAAUGGGGGAAACCCUGAUGCAGCGACGCCGCGUGGGCGAAGAAGUAUUUCGGUAUGUAAAGCCCUAUCAGCAGGGAAGAAGAAAUGACGGUACCUGAGUAAGAAGCAUCGGCUAAAUACGGCCCAGCAGCCGCGGUAAUACGGAGGAUGCGAGCUUUAUCCGGAUUUAUUGGGUUUAAAGGGUGGGUAGGCGGAGCUGUAAGUCAGUGGUAAAAUUGAGGGGCUAACCCACUUCCCGCCAUUGAACCUGGCGCUCUUGAGUGGAAGAGAAGUAUGCGGAAUGCGUGGUGUAGCGGUGAAAUGCAUAGAUAUCACGCAGAACCCCGAUUGCGAAGGCAGCAUGCCGGCUUCCUACUGACGCUGAAGCUCGAAAGCGUGGGGAUCGAACAGGAUUAGAUACCCCUGUAGUC
rnacentral:rRNA from 1 species